GGGGGGUCUCUGGCGGGGCUGGGAGCCCCAGCAGGGCGGUGGCUCAGCCCGUAGAGCGCCGGGUUGGCAUGCGGGAGAUGCAGGUUCGAUACUCGCCUCUGACAUUUUUGUCUCUGGAGAGCGUGUGUGUAUGGGGUGCGGGGGGAAUGUGUGUGUGUGGACACGCGUGUGUGUGUGUGUGUGUGUGCACUGCUCUGUGUGGAUGUGUUUGGGUGUGUGUAUUUAUAUAGGGUGGGCACACGUGCAUGUACAUGUGUUUGUGUGCACACGCGUGCAUGUACAUGUGCCUGUGUCUAUAAUGUGUGUGCACACAGAUGUGUAUAUGGACGUGCAUGUGUGUGCAUACAUGUGUAUAGGUGUGUGCAUACAUGUAUGUAUAGGUGUGCAUGCUUGUGUGUACAUGUAUAGGUACACGUGUGUCUAUAGGUGUGUGCACAUACAUGGCUGCACAUACACACGUUAUAUAAACGCAUGUGUUUACAUGUGCAUGUAUGUAUAGAUGUGUGCACACACGUGCACAUGCGUGUUCUUUUGCACGUGUGUGCGUAUACCUGUGUGUGUGAGUGUAUAGACACGUGUGUGUCGCGCACACGUGUGCACAGCUGUGUGUGCGUGCUCCUGUGCACACGCGUGUGCGCGUGCCGGCUCUGUGCACACACCUGUACGUGCCCGUACAUACGCGUGCGUGUCCCCGCGCGCCACCGGGAGGGGGCGGGGUCGUGAGGGGGCGGGGCCAAUAGGAGGCGUGUCCCACGGGCGGGUCAGGGGCAGCGCUGCGGCCGGUUGCCGAGGCGCCGUCCAAUAGGCGCGCUGGUUGCUAGGGGGUGGUGGGCCAAUGGGCGUGCGCGUUGCUGUUGCCAGGCGGCGCGGCGGGGCGGGCCGGGGCGAUGAGCGGGCCGCGGCGGCCCGGCAGCCAUGGAGAUCCGCUGCGGCGGGCUGCUCUUCAGCUCCCGCUUCGACUCGGGGAACCUGGCGCACGUCGAGCAGGUGGAGCCGCCCGGGGCCGGAGGGGGGCCCGCAGGCUGCGGCGCCGCGCUGCCCCCCGCCGACU
rnacentral:lncRNA from 1 species